AACGCACGAGACCUGCGGACCUGCGGAGGGAUCAUUAAUGAGAAGCUGCCCCUCGUGGGUAGACCUCCCACCCUCUGUGAACUUACCUUUGUUGCUCUGGCAGGCCCGUCCUCUGGACCGCCGGCUUCGGCUGGCCCGUGCCUGCCAGAGGAUUCCAAACCCUGUCUGUCAGUGUUGUCUGAGUCUAUAUGAAAUCGUUAAAACUUUUAACAAUGGAUCUCUAGAUCGGAAGAGCACACG
rnacentral:misc_RNA from 1 species